GUGGGGAAUCUUGCACAAUGGGCGAAAGCCUGAUGCAGCGACGCCGCGUGCGCGAUGAAGUCCUUCGGGAUGUAAAGCGCUUUCGACGGGAACGAUAAUGACGGUACCCGGAGAAGAAGCUGCGGCUAACUACGUGCCAGCAGCCGCGGUAAUACGUAGGCAGCAAACGUUGUUCGGAGUUACUGGGCGUAAAGAGUGCGUAGGCGGUUCGGUAAGUUUGGUGUGAAAUCUCCCGGCUCAACUGGGAGGGUGCGCCGAAAACUGCCGGGCUCGAGUGCCGGAGAGGAAAGCGGAAUUCCUGGUGUAGCGGUGAAAUGCGUAGAUAUCAGGAGGAACACCCGUGGUGUAGACGGCUUUCUGGACGGCCACUGACGCUGAGGCACGAAAGCGUGGGGAGCAAACAGGAUUAGAAACCCUAGUAGUCC
rnacentral:rRNA from 1 species